rnacentral:rRNA from 1 species
AUUGAACGCUGGCGGCAGGCCUAACACAUGCAAGUCGAGCGGAUGAAGAGAGCUUGCUCUCUGAUUCAGCGGCGGACGGGUGAGUAAUGCCUAGGAAUCUGCCUGGUAGUGGGGACAACGUUUCGAAAGGAACGCUAAUACCGCAUACGUCCUACGGGAGAAAGUGGGGGAUCUUCGGACCUCACGCUAUCAGAUGAGCCUAGGUACGAUUAGCUAGUUGGUGAGGUAAAGGCUCACCAAGGCGACGAUCGUUAACUGGUCUGAGAGGAUGAUCAGUCACACUGGAACUGAGACACGGUCCAGACUCCUACGGGAGGCAGCAGUGGGGAAUAUUGGACAAUGGGCGAAAGCCUGAUCCAGCCAUGCCGCGUGUGUGAAGAAGGUCUUCGGAUUGUAAAGCACUUUAAGUUGGGAGGAAGGGCAGUAAGUUAAUACCUUGCUGUUUUGACGUUACCGACAGAAUAAGCACCGGCUAACUUCGUGCCAGCCGCCGCGGUAAUAC